GACGAACGCUGGCGGCGUGCUUAACACAUGCAAGUCGAACGAAGUGGCGAACGGGUGAGUAAUACGUGGGUAACCUGACCUCCUUUUUGGGAUAAGCCUUGGAAACGGGGUCUAAUACCAAAUAUUGGGGGAUGGGCUAGCGGCUUAUCAGCUGGUUGGUGGGGUGAUGGCGUACCAAGGCGGUGACGGGUAGCAGGGCUGAGAGGCUGAACUGCGACUGUGAGACUGCGCGAAGGCCUAGGCUCGUAAGGGAGGGAGCAGUGUGGGCUAUGGCACAAUGGGCGACAGACUGAUGCAGCGAGGCCGCGUAGGGGUUUAAGGCUGUCAGGUUGUGAAGUUCUUUCGCUAUCGAAAGGGUAGGUGGAGAAGAAGCGCCGGCUAACUACGUGCCAGCCGCCGCGGUAAUUC
rnacentral:rRNA from 1 species